rnacentral:rRNA from 1 species
AUUGAACGCUGGCGGCAGGCCUAACACAUGCAAGUCGAGCGAGCGGCGGACGGGUGAGGAAUGUCUGGGAACCUGCCUGAUGGAGGGGGAUAACUACUGGAAACGGUAGCUAAUACCGCAUACCAUCAGAUGUGCCCAGAUGGGAUUAGCUGGUAGGUGGGGUAACGGCUCACCUAGGCGACGAUCCCUAGCUGGUCUGAGAGGGUGAUCAGCCACACUGGGACUGAGACACGGCCCAGACUCCUACGGGAGGCAGCAGUGGGGAAUAGUCGACAAUGGGCGCAAGUCUGACGCAGCAAUGCCGCGUGAGUGAAGAAGGCCUUCGGGUUGUAAAGCACUGUCGUCAGAGAAGCGGUACCUGACCAAGAAGCACCGGCUAACUCCGUGCCAGCAGCCGCGGUAAUUC